rnacentral:rRNA from 1 species
UACGUAGGGGGCUAGCGUUGUCCGGAAUCAUUGGGCGUAAAGGGCGUGUAGGCGGCCCGGUAAGUCCGCUGUAAAAGUCAAAGGCUCAACCUUUGAAUGUCAGUGGAUACUGCCGGGCUAGAGUCCGGAAGAGGCGAGUGGAACUCCUGGUGUAGCGGUGGAAUGCGCAGAUAUCAGGAGGAACACCAGUGGCGAAGGCGCCGCUCUGGGCCGUGACUGACGCUGAGGAGCGAAAGCGUGGGUAGCAAACAGG